GGGAAUGUGGCUCAGAGGUAGAGUGCUUGCCUAGCAUGGGCAAAGUCCUGGGUUCAAUCCCCAGCACAGCCA
rnacentral:tRNA from 1 species